GGGUUGUGAGGUUAAGCGACUAAGCGUACACGGUGGAUGCCCUGGCAGUCAGAGGCGAUGAAGGACGUGCUAAUCUGCGAUAAGCGUCGGUAAGGUGAUAUGAACCGUUAUAACCGGCGAUUUCCGAAUGGGGAAACCCAGUGUGAUUCGUCACACUAUCAUUAACUGAAUCCAUAGGUUAAUGAGGCGAACCGGGGGAACUGAAACAUCUAAGUACCCCGAGGAAAAGAAAUCAACCGAGAUUCCCCCAGUAGCGGCGAGCGAACGGGGAGCAGCCCAGAGCCUGAAUCAGUGUGUGUGUUAGUGGAAGCGUCUGGAAAGACGCGCGAUACAGGGUGACAGCCCCGUACACAAAAAUGCACAUGCUGUGAGCUCGAUGAGUAGGGCGGGACACGUGGUAUCCUGUCUGAAUAUGGGGGGACCAUCCUCCAAGGCUAAAUACUCCUGACUGACCGAUAGUGAACCAGUACCGUGAGGGAAAGGCGAAAAGAA
rnacentral:rRNA from 1 species